GGGAACAAAAUUUCAUUUGCCUCCAACACCUAGUCAGUUUCCCACGCAACAAUUCUCUCUCAAACCCUAGACACCAUGACACCCGACGAACACCCGUCCUCCUCUUCCUCAUCCUCCACCUCCGACCAGCACCUGACUGUUCUCUGUUGCAGCCACCGCCUCCACUCUCCUCAUUCUCCUUCUCCGCCUCCGCCUCCGCUAUCCUCCUCCUCCUCUUCCUUUGGCACACCUGUUCUCUCAUCUCUCUUCUCAAAUUCACCAGAUCCGCCAAAGACGCAGUCCACGCCGGAGCUCCGCCUUGCCCCUCCUCCUUCUCUUUUCUCCUUCCACCCCGGACGUUGCUCUAAAUUUUUAUUGAAAUUCUCUGUUCUGUGUUGCAGUGCUGAGAAGGCUGGGAGUGAAGGGCGUGGAGAUAAAGAAACCAGAGCAGCUCAAAACCGUGGCCUCACUCAUAAUCCCUGGAGGAGAGAGCACCACCAUGGCUAAGCUCGCCGAGUACCACAACCUGGUCUUUCUAUCACUCACCCAAACAGUCUCUAUUAUUUGUUGAUUUGUUUAAAGCUUUUUACUUUAUUACUCCUGGGCUCAAUAUGUAUAUGCCUGCUUCUACAAUUGUCAAUACUUUUAGUGUAUCAGUAAAUGGGGAUUAGAUGAAAAUGAGGACUGUUCUAGAAAUGGUGUAAUUUGGCUAUAUGGGUUUUGUUCUUUGGUGCUUUGGGUAUAUAGGAGUGGUGGAAUUGUGAACUAUAUCGGCUUGCCUAAUAUAAUCACAAAUGACACAGGAGAAUCAAUUAAGUCUUUUCAACAGAUUCUGAAGAUUGGUUUUGUCUCUCAUCUCAUCCAAAAUCUACAGUAUCCGACUGAGACCCAGAACCAAGUCAGUUUUGUUUUCAGAGGUUGCUCUUUGUGCGGCUAUUGUAGCUAAUCUCAACACGAAGAGUUGUAUACUUGCAUGAUUGAUCAUUAUACAAGUCCAGAUUACUGAAGGACCAAAUUCUCAGAUAAAAAGUUAUAUUUAGUUUGUGGAUCUGCCUGAUUGUGAAAUUGAUGGAGGGUGCGAUUAGGUGCUCCACCAACUAUGUUCCUCUUUCUCCGAUCAGCUUCCUGGAGCGCUCAGCCAGUCUACAGAGACAGACCCUCUAUUAUGUAUGGAGACAUCGUCUACACUUGGAGACAGACACUUGAACGAUGCACCAGACUUGCUUCUGCUCUUGCCCAACUUGGAAUUUCUCGAGGCGAUGUGAUUGGCCAGGGUCAUUUUAGGAAUUUCACUUCCAUAUGGGGCCCACCUGUGCUGAGUUGGAUCGCCACGUCAGCAGCUAACGGCAGAAAUUAACGGAAUCAUAACGGAUGGACCUAUUGGAUGAGAAAAUGAUAGUGUGGGGGUGUUUUUGAUGAAAUUGAAAGUCGAGGGACUGAAUUGAUGUGAGGUCCAUACCACAGGGUGGUAAACAGUAUUUAGCCCUAACUUUAGUAUACGAACUCGGAUGUUUACGUACCAUAUAUGCACGCGCUUGGUUUA